rnacentral:tRNA from 1 species
UAGCUCAGUGGUUGAGCAUCGAUCUAUGAACCUGGAGGUCAGGGUUCGAUUCCCUG